UAAUAAGGUAGAGGAGCAGUUAUCAAAAGUACUUAGCUAAGGAAAGGGUUAACUGCCGAAACAACAAAUUAAAAUAUUUGUUGUUGGGUUUAUACUUAACAGGUAUAAAACUGUUAAAAAAGCACAGUUAGCUACAUGGAUA
rnacentral:ncRNA from 2 species